UCCUACGGGAGGCAGCAGACGAGAAUCUUGGGCAAUGCACGAAAGUGUGACCCAGCGACGCCGCGUGGAGGAUGAAGGCCCUCUGGGUUGUAAACUCCUUUUACGGGAGAAGAAUCAAUGACGGUACCCCGUGAAUAAGCCACGGCUAACUACGUGCCAGCAGCCGCGGUAAUACGUAGGUGGCAAGCGUUGUCCGGAUUUACUGGGCGUAAAGCGAACGCAGGCGGACUGUUACGUAGGAAGUGAAAGGUCGGAGCUCAACUCCAACAUUGCUUCCUAUACUGGCAGACUUGAGUAGCGGAGAGGAAGGGGGAACGACACGUGUAGCGGUGAAAUGCGUUGAUAUGUGUCGGAACACCCAUGGCGAAAGCACCCUUCUGGACGCAAACUGACGCUCAGGUACGAAAGCCAAGGUAGCGAACAGGAUUAGAUACCCUGGUAGUCUUGGCCCUAAACUAUGUUCACUGGGUGUCGGGGGGUUUCCCUCGGUGCCGCAGCUAACGCAUUAAGCACUCCGCCUGGGGAGUACGGCCGCAAGACUGAAACUCAAAUGAAUUGACGGA
rnacentral:rRNA from 1 species